AUAAAUCUUCAGGGCAGGGUGAAAACCCCUACCGGUGGAAAAGCCCACGAGCCGUAAGGUAUGAUUCGGUGAAAUUCCGAAGCCGACAGUAUAGUCUGGAUGAAAGAAGAGAACA
rnacentral:ncRNA from 2 species